AUGGCCGAGGGCGACGGCGGGCGGAAGAUAAAAGGAUAGGAAGAAGAGGCGACCCCCGACGGACCAGUCCCGACGAGGGUGGGACGCAUACGGUAGAUCGCGAGGGGGGUAGCGGUGUGGCACACCGACGCCGACGUCGAGGUUGGGGUGGACGUACCGCAGGAGAGGGGCGCCAUUAUAUUUGCGCAGGGCCGUCCAAUAGGGCGCAGUAUCGUCCCGACCGCCGUCGCGUGUACACGUCAUAGUUGUGUCUGGACUUUGUGAAACGCGCGUAAAACCAUCGCCGUCGCCGUCGCCGUCGCCGUCGUCACCUCCCCCUCCCCCCGGAAACGUCCACGUCCGGUGUCCCGGCGAGGGUGAGAUACACGCGAGACACGUACUCGUCCUCUCCUACCGUCUCCUGUAUCCCGUAUCCCGUAUCCGCCCCCGAUCUAUCUUUCUUUCCUCGUGUACCUCUCCUCUACUAUCUCUCUCCGUAUCUCUUCACUUUCCGUACAUUCCAACGUUCGUUUCGCGCGUCGCUCCGAAACUUUUUACGACCGCACGCAGUAUAAACAACAACGGAGAGCGUGAGAGUCCGCCCACGCACGAGGGUCGCAAGUGGAAAGUGAGUUGCGCUGCGACGAAAAACGAAGGAGUCGAAGACCGAUCGAUCGGAGCGUCGAAUUGCGCUGAACAGGGAGUCGUACGUCUAUUGCACGAUGCUCGUCUGGAUAAAAUUUGCCAGUAUUAAACAACGUGAUCAUCCUCGAUGGACUUAAUCAUAAAAUUUAGAACAUCACGGUCAGCGUGCUGAACCUGAGGAGGAGAAUUCCAGGCAACGACGACAACGGAGCAGGCAGCUCAGCAAAAGAAAGCGUGAGAGGAGCUUCUCGAUCGGCUCUAUAUCGAUGGAGCCCUCUUGAUGCAGACCGCGGAAUUACGCGGGGAUCAUUCGGCCUGGUCGUCGGACUAAUUCCACCGGCGGGCCCCGGCGACUUCACGGAGUAGCGAGCUACGUCGCUCUCUCAUCCUCAUCGACGGCGACAGACCCAGCCACUUCCACUUCCUCCACCCCACGUGGCCGCAUCAUUACCUGAUAAGGUAAGUCUUGUCAAAAUU